rnacentral:rRNA from 1 species
UACAGAGGGUGCAAGCGUUGUUCGGAAUUAUUGGGCGUAAAGCGCGUGUAGGCGGCAUGGCAAGUCGGGUGUGAAAGCCCUCAGCUUAACUGAGGAAGUGCGCCCGAAACUGCCGUGCUUGAGUGCCGGAGAGGGUGGCGGAAUUCCCAAAGUAGAGAUGAAAUUCGUAGAUAUGGGGAGGAACACCGGUGGCGAAGGCGGCCACCUGGACGGUAACUGACGCUGAGACGCGAAAGCGUGGGGAGCAAACAGG